GUUGUGUGAUAACAACAAAUCUAACUAUUCUUUAGCCUUUUAUUAAAGAAUACCACUUGUCAUUUAAUGUGGCAUACAUCAAUUUAUAUUAAAGGGUCUUUGAAAGAAGACCU
rnacentral:snRNA from 1 species